rnacentral:lncRNA from 1 species
CUCAAGUUUGGGGGGAAAGCUAGAAGAAACGUCCAUCAAAUUCAACAUUAGUGCACCAAAUCAUCGUUGGCAAUUCAGACAAUUCAGGGAAGUCCUCCUCUUUUUCUUUUAAUUUAACAUUGGGGACAAUGUUUAGUUUAAGUUUGGGGGGAGUGUAUUAUAAAUUGUCUAAUUNUUAAUAUCUACAUUGUAAUUUUUCAGGAACAUGACAUCGCAGAUCAAUCAAACAACAUUGAAAAGGGAGAAGCUAGAUAAAUCUCAAGUUUGGGAUAAAAGCUAGAAAAAGCGUCCAUCAAAUUCAACGUCAGAGCACAGACCGUCAUUGGCAAUUCAGACAAUUCAGGGAAGUCCUCCUUAUUUUCUUUUAAUUUAACAUUGGGGACAAUGUUUAGUUUAAGUUUGGGGGGAAGUAUAUUCUUGAAUAGCCUAAUUUUUUUUUUAUUGUGUGAAUUGUGUGCAUUUACAAAAAAAAUAAAAAAAUAAAAAAAAAAAUUAUUUUAUUUGUGUGUUUUGUUUUUAAUUUCUUAACUGUAAGCAUUGAUUAAAAAAAAAAGAAGUCUUUUCGUGUUUUUGCAUGCUUGUGUGUGUUAGAUAGCCUUGUUGGCGAUAAUAUUAAGAACAUGUAUUGGUUCAUGGAUUAUGGAUAAGUUACUUGUGUGAGUUAGAUUUUUGCUUAUUCGUGUGAAACGGAAAUUAUUUUUGCACGUGGGUUGAUUGUAGCGUUGUACAUAAGUAGGUUGNUUUAUUUAUUUAUUCUGUUUUUGAAUUUUAGGAUAAUUUAUUUUAUUUCAGACUUGUUAUUUAGGAAUUCAUCAACCCUACCCGUCCCUUAGGUUUUUGAAAAAUCAAGUUGGUUAUCGAUGUUUGAGCUAAGUACCACUUGUUCCAUGAGCUUAAUAUCUACAUUGUAAUUUUUCAGGAACAUGACAUCGCAGAUCAAUUAAACAACAUUGAAAAGGG